rnacentral:rRNA from 1 species
GACGAACGCUGGCGGCGUGCCUAAUACAUGCAAGUCGAGCGGACGGAUGGGAGCUUGCUCCCAGACCGUCAGCGGCGGACGGGUGAGUAACACGUGGGCAACCUGCCUGUAAGACUGGGAUAACUCCGGGAAACCGGGGCUAAUACCGGAUAACUCUUUCCCUCACAUGAGGGAAAGCUGAAAGAUGGCAUCUCGCUAUCACUUACAGAUGGGCCCGCGGCGCAUUAGCUAGUUGGUGAGGUAACGGCUCACCAAGGCGACGAUGCGUAGCCGACCUGAGAGGGUGAUCGGCCACACUGGGACUGAGACACGGCCCAGACUCCUACGGGAGGCAGCAGUAGGGAAUCUUCCGCAAUGGACGAAAGUCUGACGGAGCAACGCCGCGUGAGUGAUGAAGGUUUUCGGAUCGUAAAACUCUGUUGUCAGGGAAGAACAAGUACCGGAGUAACUGCCGGUACCUUGACGGUACCUGACCAGAAAGCCACGACUAACUACGUG